UACGUAGGGGGCAAGCGUUGUCCGGAUUUACUGGGCGUAAAGAGCGCGCAGGCGGUCGAAUAAGUCGAAUGUGAAAGCCCCCGGCUCAACUGGGGAGGGUCAUUCGAUACUGAUCGACUCGAAGGCAGGAGAGGGUAGUGGAAUUCCCGGUGUAGUGGUGAAAUGCGUAGAUAUCGGGAGGAACACCAGUGGCGAAGGCGACUACCUGGCCUGUUCUUGACGCUGAGGCGCGAAAGCUAGGGGAGCAACGGG
rnacentral:rRNA from 1 species